CCUACGGGAGGCAGCAGUGAGGAAUAUUGGUCAAUGGGCGAGAGCCUGAACCAGCCAAGUCGCGUGAAGGAUGACGGCCCUACGGGUUGUAAACUUCUUUUGUCAGGGAGCAAUUGGGUCCACGCGUGGGCUUAGCGAGAGUACCUGAAGAAAAAGCAUCGGCUAACUCCGUGCCAGCAGCCGCGGUAAUACGGAGGAUGCGAGCGUUCUCCGGAUUUAUUGGGUUUAAAGGGUGCGUAGGCGGAAUAUCAAGUCAGCGGUAAAAAUUCGGGGCUCAACCCCGUCGUGCCGUUGAAACUGAUGGUCUUGAGUGGGCGAGAAGUAUGCGGAAUGCGUGGUGUAGCGGUGAAAUGCAUAGAUAUCACGCAGAACUCCGAUUGCGAAGGCAGCAUACCGGCGCCCAACUGACGCUGAAGCACGAAAGCGUGGGUAUCGAACAGGAUUAGAUACCCUGGUAGUC
rnacentral:rRNA from 1 species